AAUCACCGAAGUUAAGCAAUCUCGAGCCUGGUGAAUACUUUGAUGGGUGACCGCUUGCGAAUACCAAGUGUUGAA